AGUGUCAGCGGGAGCGAAAGCGCGAGUUUAAAGAAACAGGAGGCCCACAGAAUUUCCUACGGGGGCUUUAACUGGCUCUCGCUGCCUCGUUUGUUUUUGUUUUUCCAGCUCGCGGAAGUGCUUCAGCGUUAACCCUUUCCAGCCCUCUCAAUAGUUUACAUCUUGUUUUGCAUAGUUAAACCUUUUUUUUAAUUGGGGUAAAGAUUUACAAAGAAAGAAAGGGAAGCGGCACAUUGGUUAAAACUCUAGAACCAGACUGGGUAAAAGGAUUCCACCUCCCCUACUAAAUAGCUCAGUGGCUUUGUUUUCCUUAGUGUCUCAGUUCCCCAUCCGUCAAAUGGGGAGAAUUGUAGUUACACCCUUAUAAGUUUCUUUUAUUGGAUGAAAUGCGUUAAUACGGAACAAUGCGAGUUGAGAACAGUGCCUGGCACGAAGUACAUGACUUUAUGCUUCUUAAAGACAAGAGAGGGAACAGGAGAGAAGGUGUUCUAAAUCAAAUAGAGAAGCCGCUUCAGUGUUCUAAGUGCAAACGGUCCUGUUAGUCUGUUCUUGUCCAAUCUUUUCCAUGCUCUGAAAAAUUGAUGGGUGCCAUCCGUAACCACCUUAAUUUUGUCUCAACACCCACUGGAAGUGGAGCCAGACAAUUAAACUACUCUUCCAAUUUGAUGACCGAAGAAUGCCUCUCAUGGUUACUUGGCUGAAAUAAAACGUUCAGUGCAGUUCCAUGUCCCAUUUAUACGCAAAAUCAUGGGGACCCAGCAGGAGCCAUUUCAAGAGCAUCUCUUCCUUAGUCUGGAGUGUUUCUGUCCCCUUUCACAGUAGAAAAAUGGGUGUUUCUUGCUUUUCAAAGAAGAAACAAGUCCCUGCCUCUCCUGGGGAGAGGAAUUAAGAUGUCUCUAAGGAAAAAGUUUCAUCUUCCAUCUCACUAGAGAGAAAAGAGUUACAGUGAGUGAGGAUUUGUUAAAACCUUAUACAAUUACUAUCAUGGACAGCAAGGGGAUCAAACCAGUCCAUCCUAAAGGAAAUCAACCCUGAAUAUUCAUUGGAAGGACUGAUGCUGAAGCUGAAGCUCCAAUUCUUUGGCCACCUGAUGCAAAGAGCCGACUCAUUGUAAAAAAAACCCUGAUGCUGGGAAAGAUGGAAGGCAGGAGAAGAAGGGAACAACAGAGGAGGAGAUGGUUGGAUGGCAUCAUCGAUUCAACAGAUAUGAGUUUGAGCAGACUCUGAGAUGGUGAAGGACAGCAAAGCCUGGCAUGCUUCAGUCCAUGGGGUCAGAGAGAAUCAGACAUGAUUGAGUGACUGAACAACAACACCACCAAAAGGGAAAUUACUAUCAGUGGAUUCCUUUUCUUCAGGCCUAAUCUAAUAUUACAACCUUUUCCUCCAGGCCUCAGGCAUUUCCUCUCCCUCCUCAUUUGAGAAAACUAGUCUUUUUAUCUUUAGUACACAAUUACAAGAUUCCUUUCUUCAUCUUGGCUGAUUUUUUUCCUCGAUUCAUCCCACCCUCUCCAUCCCCACCAUGUCCACAAGUCUUUUCUCUGUCUGCAUCUCCACUGUUGCCCUGCAAAAGGUUCUUCAGUUCCAUCUUUCCAAAUUCCAUAAAUCUAUGUUAAUAUAUGAUAUUUGUUUUUCUCUGACUGACUUCAGUCUGUAUAAUAGGCUCCAGGUUCCUCCACCUCACUAGAGCUGACUCAAAGAUGUUCCUUUUUAUGGCUGAGUAAUAUUCCAUUGUAUUGCAUUGUAUAUAUGAAAUAUACAUAUAUGAAUAUUCCAUCGUACCACAAAUUUUUAAUCCAUUCAUCUGUUGAUAGACAUCUAGGUUGCUUCCAUUUCCUAGCUAUUGUAAAUAGUGCUGCAGUGAACAUUGGGGUACACGUGUCUUUUUCAGCUUUGGUUUCCUCAGGGUAUAUGCCCUGUAGUAGGAUUGUUGGGUCAAUAGGGUAGUUCCUUGUUUUUUAUUCACCUUGUUUGACUUCUGCUCUCAGAAUCAACUGAGAAUUCAUUAUAUUAUUUCUGGAUAUUUCAGCUUUUUGCUCUUUUAUAAUCUUCAGUAAAAUUUUUAUGAAUAAAGUGUUUUGAAUGAAAUAAGCAUUUAAAAAAUUACAUGACAGCUAGUAGCACUUUUUUUU